rnacentral:rRNA from 1 species
AACGAACGCUGGCGGCAGGCUUAACACGUGCAAGUCGAGCGCCCCGCAAGGGGAGCGGCAGACGGGUGAGUAACGCGUGGGAACGUACCCUUUGGUUCGGAAUAGCUCCGGGAAACUGGAAUUAAUACCGGAUGAGCCCUACGGGGAAAGAUUUAUCGCCGAAGGAUCGGCCCGCGUCGGAUUAGCUAGUUGGUGGGGUAACGGCCUACCAAGGCGACGAUCCAUAGCUGGUCUGAGAGGAGGAUCCGCCACACUGGGACUGAGACACGGCCUAGCCUCCUACGGGAGGCAGCAGUGGGGAAUAUUGGACGAUGGGCGAAAGCCUGAUCCAGCCAUGCCGCGUGAGUGAUGAAGGCCUUAGGGUUGUAAAGCUCUUUCAGUGGGGAAGAUAAUGACGGUACCCACAGAAGAAGCCCCGGCUAACUUCGUGCCGGCAGCCGCCGUAAAAC